UCAGAUGGCUGGAUGACCGCUGGUUUCGAUCAGAGGAAAGUCCGGGCUCCACGGAACCACGAUGCCGGAUAACGUCCGGCGAGGGUAACCUUAGGGAAAGUGCCACAGAAAACAAACCGCCUGCCGGCUGGCUUGCCAGCGCAGGUAAGGGUGAAACGGUGCGGUAAGAGCGCACCGCGCGACUGGCAACAGAAGCGGCAGGGUAAACCCCAUCGGGAGCAAGACCAGAUAGGAACGCGCGGCCUUCGGGCCAUGGGCUGGUUUCGUCCAGACGUUCGGGUAGGUCGCUUGAGGCGACUGGCAACAGUCGCCCUAGAGGAAUGGUCAUCCAGCGCGCGUGAUCAUCACCGCGUGGACAGAACCCGGCUUACAGGCCAUCUGACCCU
rnacentral:RNase_P_RNA from 1 species